CUUGGCCUGGCUGCGAUCGAGAGGGCCAGGAAGCGCCAGGCCUCGCGCAUCACAUGGCUAAGGGCUGGAGAAGCCCGAUCGGCCUUUCUCCAUGCCAAAAUCAAUUCGAGGAGGCCGAAAAACUUCAUCCACACCAUCCACAGGUCAGACUCCAUCGUCACGUCGCACAGUGACAAGGCCAGUGCUAUAUACGACCACUUCACCUCCUCCCUUGGGGCGGCGCCAGUCAGAGACACCACCAUUGCCUGGAGCUCACUCAGUCUUCCGUCGCUGCCGGCUGCCGAUCUAGAUAAUCCA
rnacentral:rRNA from 1 species